AUUGAACGCUGGCGGCAGGCCUAACACAUGCAAGUCGAGCGGAUGAAGGGAGCUUGCUCCUGGAUUCAGCGGCGGACGGGUGAGUAAUGCCUAGGAAUCUGCCUGGUAGUGGGGGAUAACGUCCGGAAACGGGCGCUAAUACCGCAUACGUCCUGAGGGAGAAAGUGGGGGAUCUUCGGACCUCACGCUAUCAGAUGAGCCUAGAUCGGAUUAGCUAGUUGGUGGGGUAAAGGCCUACCAAGGCGACGAUCCGUAACUGGUCUGAGAGGAUGAUCAGUCACACUGGAACUGAGACACGGUCCAGACUCCUACGGGAGGCAGCAGUAGGGAAUAUUGGACAAUGGGCGAAAGCCUGAUCCAGCCAUGCCGCGUGUGUGAAGAAGGUCUUCGGAUUGUAAAGCACUUUAAGUUGGGAGGAAGGGCAGUAAGUUAAUACCUUGCUGUUUUGACGUUACCAACAGAAUAAGCACCGGCUAACUUCGUG
rnacentral:rRNA from 1 species